rnacentral:sRNA from 1 species
GCUGGGCCUGGUGCUGCAUGCCCGGAAUCCCAGUAACUGAGAGGCUGAGGCAGGAGGAUCACACCGAGUUUGAGGCCAGCCUCAGCAACUUAGUAAGACCCUGUCUCCA